GAUGAACGCUGGCGGCGUGCUUAACACAUGCAAGUCGAACGGUGAAGGCGGAGCUUGCUCUGCUGGAUCAGUGGCGAACGGGUGAGUAACACGUGAGCAAUCUGCCCCUGACUCUGGGAUAAGCGCUGGAAACGGCGUCUAAUACUGGAUACGAGCUGCGAAGGCAUCUUCAGCAGCUGGAAAGAACUUCGGUCAGGGAUGAGCUCGCGGCCUAUCAGCUUGUUGGUGAGGUAACGGCUCACCAAGGCGUCGACGGGUAGCCGGCCUGAGAGGGUGACCGGCCACACUGGGACUGAGACACGGCCCAGACUCCUACGGGAGGCAGCAGUGGGGAAUAUUGCACAAUGGGCGAAAGCCUGAUGCAGCAACGCCGCGUGCGGGACGACGGCCUUCGGGUUGUAAACCUCUUUUAGCAGGGAAGAAGCGAAAGUGACGGUACCUGCAGAAAAAGCGCCGGCUAACUACGUG
rnacentral:rRNA from 1 species